rnacentral:ncRNA from 1 species
CUACGGACUUAAUUGGAUUGAGCCUUGGUAUGGAAAUGUACUAAGUGAUCACUUUCAAAUUCAGAGAAACCUUGGAAUGAACAAAAAUGGGCGAUCCUAAGCCAAAUCAUUUUUUUUGAAAACAAAUAAAGGUUCAGAAAAAAAGGAUAGGCGCAGAAACUCAAAUGAAAGCUAUUCUAACAAAUGGAGUUAAAUGUGUUGGUAGAGGAAUCUUUACAUUGAAACUUCAGAAAGAAAAAGAAUGAAGUGAAGUAUAAAUAUAUAUACAUACGUAUUGAAUACUAUAUCAAAUGAUUAAUGACGAUCCGAAUCCCUGAUCAAAUCAUUCACUCCAUAGUCUGAUAGAUCUUUUGAAGAACUGAUUAAUCGGACGAGAAUAAAGAUAGAGUCCCGUUCUACAUGUCAAUACCGG